UUCCAUAAAUCUAGCCGGUGUAUUAGCAUCUGUGUCCCUUGUAUUCAGACCUCCGUAGUGUGGCGUACGGGAGGAGAAGAAGAAGAAACUGGAGAAAGACAAACAAAGCUUAAGGAGGGUUGUAAAACACACCGAAGUAAACAGAGGCACUGUGGGAACAAGCCACUGUUGCCAGUUGAGAGCUUUAAGGGUCUCAGGAGGCAGGUGUUACCGAAGGGAGCGUGGCUUUGGGUCCACGAACUGCACGGAGGCAUUCAUUCAUUCGGACGCCCGUCCCAUCUGGGGUAGAUAUAUGCGAACUGCCUUCAGGAAGCUGAAGAGAGACAAGUAGCUGGAAAGUACAACCACAGUUUUCUCCAAAUGGAGUUUCAUUUCGAGAACUAGCAUGUCUGCGUAGCGAUCAGAUGGAUGAAAAGAAUAAGAGAGAGAAAAUGCCAAGGAGAUGUGGCUGCACAGGAGCAGAGCUGGGGAGGAGGAACCAGCAACGGGGAGGAGCAGAGGCCCCAAAGUCUGUGGCUGAACUGCGCCCUUACACUGAAUACCAGGGGUUAAUCUGCCAUAAUAAAAUCAGUGUGAACACUGCCAAAGAGGCCUGAGCAGACCCUCCAGUAAGUAAUUAAUUCUGGCUGCUUUCCGCUCUCCAGCUUUCAUCAUUCUUAAUGUUACCUAAUUGUAAAAUUAUUCUUCAAACUUUCCUACUAUAAAGGAAGAAAAUGCCCAGA